rnacentral:rRNA from 1 species
UACAGAGGGUGCAAGCGUUGUUCGGAAUUACUGGGCGUAAAGGGCUCGUAGGCGGCCAACUAAGUCAGACGUGAAAUCCCUCGGCUUAACCGGGGAACUGCAUCUGAUACUGGAUGGCUUGAGUUCGGGAGAGGGAUGCGGAAUUCCAGGUGUAGCGGUGAAAUGCGUAGAUAUCUGGAGGAACACCGGUGGCGAAGGCGGCAUCCUGGACCGGCACUGACGCUGAGGAGCGAAAGCCAGGGGAGCAAACGGG